UCCGUAGGUGAACCUGCGGAAGGAUCAUUACCGAGUUGAUUCGGGCUCCGUCCCGAUCCUCCCACCCUUUGUAUACCUACCUCUGUUGCUUUGGCGGGCCGCGGUCUUCCGCGGCCGCCCCCCGAUUUUGGGGGGUGGCUAGUGCCCGCCAGAGGACUAUCAAACUCCAGUCAGUAAACGUUGCAGUCUGAAAAAAAUAUUAAAUAAACUAAAACUUUCAACAACAGAUCUCUUGGUUCUGGCAUCGAUGAAGAACGCAGCGAAAUGCGAUAAGUAAUGUGAAUUGCAGAAUUCAGUGAAUCAUCGAAUCUUUGAACGCACAUUGCGCCCCUUGGUAUUCCGGGGGGCAUGCCUGUUCGAGCGUCAUUUCAACCCUCAAGCUCUGCUUGGUAUUGGGCACCGUCCUUUGCGGGCGCGCCUCAAAGACCUCGGCGGUGGCGUCUUGCCUCAAGCGUAGUAGAAUACACCUCGCUUCGGAGCGUAAGGCGUCGCCCGCCGGACGAACCUUCUGAACUUUUCUCAAGGUUGACCUCGGAUCAGGUAGGGAUACCCGCUGAACUUAAGCAUAUCAAUAAGCGGAGGA
rnacentral:rRNA from 1 species